GAUGAACGCUGGCGGCGUGCCUAAUACAUGCAAGUCGAGCGAACAGACGAUGAGCUUGCUCCUCUGACGUUAGCGGCGGACGGGUGAGUAACACGUGGAUAACCUACCUAUAAGACUGGGAUAACUUCGGGAAACCGGAGCUAAUACCGGAUAAUAUAUUGAACCGCAUUGUUCAAUAGUGAAAGACGGUUUUGCUGUCACUUAUAGAUGGAUCCGCGCCGCAUUAGCUAGUUGGUAAGGUAACGGCUUACCAAGGCAACGAUGCGUAGCCGACCUGAGAGGGUGAUCGGCCACACUGGAACUGAGACACGGUCCAGACUCCUACGGGAGGCAGCAGUAGGGAAUCUUCCGCAAUGGGCGAAAGCUUGACGGAGCAACGCCGCGUGAGUGAUGAAGGUCUUCGGAUCGUAAAACUCUGUUAUUAGGGAAGAACAAAUGUGUAAGUAACUAUGCACGUCUUGACGGUACCUAAUCAGAAAGCCACGGCUAACUACGUG
rnacentral:rRNA from 1 species